CUCGACAUCUCGCAUCCGCUCCAUCUAUGGAAGGCCACCACGCGCCAUGGAUCGCCGCUCUCUACCGCCACCUCAAUUGAAGGUUCACCGCUCUCUACGCGGAUCCGCCACCUCCUCCUCGGCCGCCGUCAAUAGAAGGUCCCAGAUCUCCUCUCCCAUUACUUCUCUCCCCAUUACCGCGCUCGAGGUCUGCCAUUUUUGGAGGUCCGCCACUUCCGCCUCUGCUCGCCGUCAAUGGAAGGUCCUAGAUCUCCUCUCCCUAUUACCGCGCUCGAGUCAGUGGGAGGUCCGCCAUUUUUGGAAGGUCCGCCACCUCCUCCUCGACCCGCGGCAAAAAUGGCGUGGGAGAUCCGCCACCUCCUCCUCGGCCCGCGGCAAAAAUGGUGUGGGAGAUCCGCCACCUCACCUCCUCCCAUUCUCACGCCCGCGCCUGAUAUGGAAGGUCCGCCGAAGGGACUCGGACGUCGAGGCCAUGGCUGAGCCGCACCCCUUCUCCCCCUGCCUCGCGCGCGGCGGCCGAGAUGGUGUUGGCUGGGUUGUUCGGGAUGGUGGUCCUACCUGCCCUCCCUGCUAUCCUCGCCCCAAAUCGACGAGAAUCAUGCAGCCCAAAUCUGAGGUGGAGGCGCCUGCACUGUCGAUGGAGGUGUCGAGUCUGCGGUGGUGUCUGUAGAUGGGAAGGCAUGGUGUGCAGCAGCAGUGGCCAGGUGGUGUCGCUGAGCCUGUCCUCCUACGGGCUCACUAGCACGCUCUCCACGGCCAUCGGGGACCUCACGUUCCUACGUAUGCUGAACCUGAGCUCCAAUUGGUUCCACGGGGAGGUCCCAGCGACCAUCGUUCGCCUUGCGCAUCUGCAGGCGCUAGACCUGAGCUACAACGCCUUCACUGAAUUCCAGAGAUGCAAUUCCCGAGGCCAUGGAGCAGCAGACAAUAUCAAUUGCCAAAGCAGCCAUUACAAUAGUACUCAUUUUAGGGACUUCAUUUCUUGCAGCUGCCAAUCCAAUUACAGGAUGCUAUGACGCUCUUAAGUGAUCAUGAACUUAUACAUUGAAAUAAUGGUGGGCCUCGAGAGGCCAGGAGGUGGAGAGGAGUUCAACAAGUACUACAUCUUGUCUGCUCUCCUAUCCGUGGAUUGAUGUCUUUAGUAGAGGAUCCAAAUAAUGGCCUGCAAGGUUUAUUGAAUCGGAUCGCACAAAACUCCAUCUGCUUCAGAAUUGAGCUAAGCGCAUCCUAACAUCUUGACUCCUAUAUCGAUCAAUUAUUUUUGUUACACAUUUGAUUCUUUAGUUUCGUAGAGGGAGGAACAUCGUGGGAUGCAGGCCCCACGGAACACCAGAUAUUUUGAGGUAGACCGCGGCGAGGUGCCCAAGGGCAGCGCCUAGAUCUUCUUCUGGAUGGUCAAGUUCUGUAACGACAAUGUGGCAGAGGAGAUGCCCUGAUCUUCGUACUUUGCCUACUAAGCAUCCACAAAAUCUCAUUAUAAGUUCUGAGAAGGCCAAGUCAAUUGUUCAGUAUAUUACAAAAGUCAGGUUGGAGAACUCCCUUGUUCAGGCUUUUGUCUUUCUUCUGCAGAAGGAGAGAUGACGUGCUGCAUGACAUGAUGGCAUGUGAGGCAGCAACCUCUUCUCCGCAACCCUUGUCAUGGCCUGGAGUUGGUGUUCUAGGAAGGAGCACAAUUUUAUUAGGGUAGCCACCAGAGUUGAGGUCCCUUUUCAAUGGACGAACUUGGUGCUGUGGACGACAUCUGCUAUUGUAGCUAGGCGCAUACAUGUUUUCCUAUAAAUGCUAGCUCUGCAAUCACCAAAGGAAAACACAAGAGUACUCUUGGAGGAAAGUUUAGCAUUCAGUUUAACAAACCUUACCAACUCAUGCCUUGUUUGAAUGCAAUAAUGCAUGUUAUGUUGCCCUGU